GCUCCCUGAUGUUAGCGGCGGACGGGUGAGUAACACGUGGGUAACCUGCCUGUAAGACUGGGAUAACUCCGGGAAACCGGGGCUAAUACCGGAUGGUUGUUUGAACCGCAUGGUUCAAACAUAAAAGGUGGCUUCGGCUACCACUUACAGAUGGACCCGCGGCGCAUUAGCUAGUUGGUGAGGUAACGGCUCACCAAGGCAACGAUGCGUAGCCGACCUGAGAGGGUGAUCGGCCACACUGGGACUGAGACACGGCCCAGACUCCUACGGGAGGCAGCAGUAGGGAAUCUUCCGCAAUGGACGAAAGUCUGACGGAGCAACGCCGCGUGAGUGAUGAAGGUUUUCGGAUCGUAAAGCUCUGUUGUUAGGGAAGAACAAGUACCGUUCGAAUAGGGCGGUACCUUGACGGUACCUAACCAGAAAGCCACGGCUAACUACGUGCCAGCAGCCGCGGUAAUACGUAGGUGGCAAGCGUUGUCCGGAAUUAUUGGGCGUAAAGGGCUCGCAGGCGGUUUCUUAAGUCUGAUGUGAAAGCCCCCGGCUCAACCGGGGAGGGUCAUUGGAAACUGGGGAACUUGAGUGCAGAAGAGGAGAGUGGAAUUCCACGUGUAGCGGUGAAAUGCGUAGAGAUGUGGAGGAACACCAGUGGCGAAGGCGACUCUCUGGUCUGUAACUGACGCUGAGGAGCGAAAGCGUGGGGAGCGAACAGGAUUAGAUACCCUGGUAGUCCACGCCGUAAACGAUGAGUGC
rnacentral:rRNA from 1 species